CGUGAGAUGUUGGGUUAAGUCCCGCAACGAGCGCAACCCCUAUUGUUAGUUGCCAUCAUUCAGUUGGGCACUCUAGCGAGACUGCGGUAAUAAACCAGGAGGAAGGUGGGGAUGACGUCAAAUCAUCAUGCCCCUUAUGACCUGGGCUACACACGUGCUACAAUGGUUGGUACAACGAGUUGCGAGUCGGUGACGGCAAGCUAAUCUCUUAAAGCCAAUCUCAGUUCGGAUUGUAGGCUGCAACUCGCCUACA
rnacentral:rRNA from 1 species